UACGGAGGGGGCUAGCGUUGUUCGGAAUUACUGGGCGUAAAGCGCGCGUAGGCGGACCUGCAAGUCGGGGUGAAAGCCCGAGGCUCAAACCUCGGAACUGCCUUCGAUACUGCGGGUCUCGAGUCCGGGAGAGGUGAGUGGAAUUCCUAGUGUAGAGGUGAAAUUCGUAGAUAUUCGCAAGAACACCAGUGGCGAAGGCGGCUCACUGGCCCGGUACUGACGCUGAGGUGCGAAAGCGUGGGGAGCAACAGGG
rnacentral:rRNA from 1 species